ensembl:lncRNA
UGGCUGCACUCCUCCAGCUGUUGCAUAUCAUCCUAGGAAAGAAAAGAAGGAAGGUUGGAUGUGUUGUGAUCAAAUGCUCUUCCUUGCCCUAACCUGGAAAUCUUGCAGGAGGGUUCUGAAAUCUUUUACCAAGUAGGAAGGCUCUGAGCUUGAAACACAAAUGUGGCACCACUCUUUUUCAGACGCUCCUUCAGAGAGGUGUUGAGGGGAACAGAGUUUGAUCCUUUCUUUUUAGCUGGUGUUUCAGUUAAUAACCUGAAGAAAAACCUUCCGUUUCAUACCAUCAUUUUAAUGCAAAGGCCAAUAAGUGACAUUUCUUAGGCAUUUGUUUCAUGCUUUAUGUUACAGCUGCAUGUAUUCACGCAUUUACUCAAACAUUCAUAUAGAAUCAUCUAAUCCUUAGAGUUGGAAGGGCCCUUUGAAGGCCAUCUGGUCCAACUCCCUGCAAUGAACAGGGACACCACAGCUCAGUCAGGUUGCCCAGGGCCUGAUCCAGCCUCACCUUGAAAGUCUCCAGGGACGGGGCAUCAACCACAUCACAAGGCAACCUGUUCCAGUGCCUCACCACCCUCACUGUAAAAGACUUUUCCUUAUAUCCAGCCUGAAUCUCCCUCUUCAAGCUUGAAAGCGUUUCCCUUUGUUCUAUCACAACAGACCCCACUAAAAAGGUCUCUUUCUUCUUCCCUUCUUUCCUUUUGUUCACUUAUCUAAUGUUAAAAUUGGGCCAUAAGACACAAAAAUUGUUGAGCUCAAGCUUCAGAGGACCUGGUUCCUGCAGUGGUACCUUCAGGGGGGAAAUCACUUAUGCCUCAGGACCGUGCUGUGUGCUGGAUGGCUUCUCUAAGUAGCUCCUUCCAGUUCCUAAACUGAUGACACCUGGGGUUGAAUAGUAGACCUCUAUGGUCAUGUGCCUUAAGGACCUCACAGACGGAAGUGCCAUGCUGAAGGUAUCAAGUGAAGGCACAACUCAAGUGUCGCUGGAAACAAAGCAGUCACCCUGAUGUGCAAUGGUGCAAAGACUUUGCAGCCAACACAACCCUUCUUUACAGUGUUCUUAAGACUAUUAUCCCUCGGAAAGCUAUUUAAUAACUUUUUUUUGUAAAGAGGAGUUCCAAAUACUCAGUGCUUUACAUCUAUAGUAGUUCUUCUCCCCCAUCACAGACCUCGUGGAGAUGACUGUAUGUAUAGCACUGGCAGUCCCAGCAAUGUUUGGCUGUGGCUGCAGUGGGAACAGUGAGGCUCCCCAACUGCAGAGCCGCAGUACACAUAAUGCUAACAGGAGAGGAGGGGCUCAGCCCUUCCCAAGGUUCCCCCUGCUCAGGUCACACCUCUGAAGCCUUCAGUGUAUGCAGGUACUGCACAGUGCUGCAGAGUGUGUGUCAGAUGUGCGGGUCCCUGCUUGCUUUGACAUGAGAGAGGCUACUUCAGUUGCUGCUUCCGUUCAGGACCAAAAUGCACAAAAGAAAUAGCAGAAUAAAAUGGCAGCACUCUGGCAUUGAUUAGGGACCACAACUAAGACACUGUUGUUAGAUUUGUGCAUGGAAUUAGUGGGGCAUCACCAGAUUUGAGGCGUGUAACGCAUGCCCGGUCCAUAGCUUUGCUUGCAGCCUGCAAAGAGGAUCGUGGACAUCCCAGCACCUCUUAUCCUGAUUUGAGAAUCUAGGUUGUAGAACACAGGAUAGCCAAAGCCUGAUCCCAAAUGUUAUUUGUGUACGUAUAAUUAUUCUCAGGUGGAAUCCACCUAUUUCUGACAGCUAACGACUAGACAGUUAAUUAUGUGACAACUGUAAUGCCUCAAUUCUCAUGCUGCGUUACAGGGAAACUAAUUUCUCUCUUGAGAUGUCUGAUCCUCUCAGCUGACUACAGAGGGAGCAGAAGUUAGGACAGCUCAAAGGUACCCACACAUCUACCUUAAGUAAGCCUCACCCAGCAUGUCUGCUGGCUGAUGUUACUAACAUUGGGUAAUGCCUGCCUCAUCUCUGAAGGUCUGUAGGUGUUUAUCAUAUUGUGUGGGAUCUCAUUUCAUAGCUGAUGACAUAAACCGCGACAGUUACUUAUGUAAUUAGCAGAUAGUCAUUAGCUUUUGUAAAAUCAGUAGAAUUCCACAUGGGAGCAAUUGCACAAGUGUUAGUAGUUCAGGCUGUUGUUGACUGGAGAGCUGUUAGGAAGUACCUAAUGAACAGCAAUAGUUCAUGGUGAUGGAAAACUUACCAUGUUCUAAUACAGAGUGUUUCAUAUUCUGUAUUGGAUGCUCUAUUGGGAACUCUCCUACUGUAAUGCCUUUUAAAAAAUAUAGGGGGAAAAAAAAGCACAUUUGAACAAAAACUCAAAAAUUUCUAUCCUUGGUUUCAGUUCAGGAGGUGCGUUUUCAAAACUGAAUUCCUGUCUAAAGUGCUCUAAGUCGCAAAAAAAUACCAGCAGUCUUCAUUUUGAAUGGUUCCAGAUGUACAACACAGAUGAGGCCAUAGGAUCUGCUACGGUAGAUAACACCCUUAUCAGUUUGCAGAAAUAGAGCAAACAAGAGACCAACUCCAGCAGAAGACUGAAGAUUUGCAAAGCAUCUUCCACAGUGCCUACAACAGCAGAUUAUUUCUGGCUCUCCAUUCCACAAAACGCAGGUAGCAGCAAACACACACAAGCAGGAUCUGUGUCCUUGCCUUCUGCAGGCCUGAAGCCUUUUGAACCAGCUCCAACACUGUCCAAAGUGCAAGAAGGGUGGUUGAUUUAAUUGAAGGCAGAUAAAUGCUAUGGGAAUGAUUAAAAGGAUUCAAGGAACAGAGUCAGAAAGAUAAAACGAGCUUAUUGCAGGCAGGGAUAUAUUCAUGGCAUCAGUAUAUGCUGUGGCUCUUCCAGUACACUUUCCAGUCUACACAAGGCCGUGCAGAGCUACCUGCAGGAUUUUAAGUGUGCCCAUUGCUUGAGCUCUGUUUGAGGUUAACAAUAUGGAAAACCUGGUGUGUGAUUCCUUGCUGCAAGGACCUGCUGGUGUACAUGUGGGCUUUCAGGUUAUGGAAAUGACCCAUUAUUUAUAAAAUAGCUUCUUCCUGUUUGCAGUGAUGCAGUGAAAUACUGAGUCAUCUCUAAACCUUUAGCCUUCCCUGAACAGCCUUUCUCAUUUGCGGCAUCUUACAUUUGGGUUGAUAGCAGUAGAGAGGAGAUUUUACUUGAACAUAUCACUUAUGGAUGAAUUGCUGCACCUGUAAAGAAAGCAUGUCCUGGAACUGCACUUCAGAUCUGUAGUUAUCAAGACUGACUUCAUUCCAUACACAAACUCCUCUGGUUUUAUAGGACUUACAGUGGUAUGUUGGUAUGCCCUAACUGUGCUUUAAGUGCAUCAUGGCAGUAACCACUCCUGUCCUCAGUUUUUCCAACAUGGAAAAAUGGGCAGCUUCCCACUUCUCAUAUCGAUUUGAAGUGGUUUCUUGCCCAAUAACAAGAUUGCUUUGUGUUGCAUGCCAAGAUACCCAAUUCUCUUCCCACAGAGCAAAGCGCCCGGGGCCUAAGAAGUUCUGGCUUCAGCUGGGAGCUGUACUUUAUUUCUCUGCCUUUUUCAACCUUUUUCAAUCUCUGCGGAACGCUGUAGAACAGAAUCAUAGAAUCACCAAGGUUGAAAGAGGCCUACAAGGUCAUCCAGUCCAACCAUCUACCUAUCACCAGUACUUCUCACUUAGCCACGUUCCUCAGUCUGACCCUUUAAGGGAUGAAAUGGAGGAGGCAUCUGAAAACAGAACAUGUCUCAUCUCUGCCUCGCGGCAAUGCUGUGAUGAUGUUUCAUCUUGUGAGAAGCCAAGGGGAAGAGAACUUACUAUAGUGAAAACAUCUAUUCACAAGCUAUUUAAACUGAACUAAAACAAGCACUACAACCAGCUGGGACUGCAAUGAUUAAAGUCUCCGCAGUUAUUACAGGGUUUGGUUUUCUACUGAAACAACACAUGCUGCAGACUAAGAUGAAGGAAGGAAGUAUGCACUGGUACAAUAGCAGACAAAAAUACCACUCAUUACCCUUCUGCUGACUGGCCAUGAGUGGCUUCGGAUAGACACGUCUGUCUUCUAAGAUAAAUCAGCAAUGCAAAGCCCAAGUGUAUAUAAAAAAUGCCAUUUUUUUAACACACAAAGAUCAAUUUUAGAGCUGUGGAGGUGCUAAGCAGCAUGCGGAGCGCUUGUAUCUCUCAGAAAUUUAGCUGAACCAAGUACCUAGGAAGCCAUGAGCAGACUGAAAGCAGCAGUGAAGCUGCAGGGCAAGCUGUCAUCUUCUUCUCACUUGUCCCUGAAAUGCCCCGACCAAAAUGAACCAUAGAAGCGUCUUAGAAUCAUAGGAUGGUUUGGGUUGGAAGGUCAUCCAGUUCCAACCCCCUGUCAUGGGCUGGUUGCUACCACCACACUGGGCUGCCCAGGGCCCAUCCAACCUGGCCUGGAGCACCUCCAGCGAUGGGGCAUCCACAACUCUGGGCAGCAGUGUCAGGCCUCACCACCCACUCAGCAAAAUAUUUUCCCAACAUCCAAUCUAGAUCUCCUCUUUUUUAGUUUAAAACCAUCCGCCUUGUCCUAUCUCUAUCUGCCCAUGCAUAAAGUUGAUUUCCUUCCUGCUUAGUAGCUCCCUUUAAGUACUGUAAGGCUGCAAGGAGAUCUCCCAGGAGCCUUCUCCAAGCUGAACACACUCAGCUCCCUCAGCCUUUUUUAUAGGAGAGGCCAGCCCAUGUCUUCCUGAGCCAGAACGGCCCCUCACACACAAAGAGGAAAACAUAGGAGGCUUUUAAAAGCUGAUGGCUGGGUUGAAAGACUUGAAUUGACAAGAAAAGAAUGGCUGUGAGGAGAUACUGUACUGAAUAAAUAUUAAUUAUUUUUGUAAACCCCAAUGGAUGCUAAUAGUGGUCUUGCAUUUGCAGUGUCGUCCGGAAGGCAGAACCCUCACACACAGCGUGUGGGAGUGCACAGAUGAACAGGAGUCUUCAUGCAUGAAAAUGGGCGUAUGUAUUUCAUGAACUAGAUUGUUCAGCAGAUUUUGCUUAACCUGCUUUGCACUAUGCCACCGAAAUGAGGACAACUGCAGACGUGUAUGUAAAGUGGCAAAUAUUAGCAAAAUUAAUUCCAAAGCAUGGCCUCUUUCAAGGCACUUUACAAACAAAUAGUAAUAAUGGGGCCACAAUUUAGUGAUUUCUAAGCUAUCUACAUUGAGUUUUGAAAUGUAUCUGAAAAUGAGUGCCAUCAAAGAACACAACGGAAAUUGGGCUCUGCCUUCCCAAAUUCUUUUAAGAGUUUCCUGGAAAAAAAAAAGAGUGCUGGGAUGGGCACAGCAGCAGGUGCAGGAGGACAAGGCAGACAGAGAGCAGUGUGUGUGCAUUAUCUGCUCCGGCAGCAGGGACCCAGUGUCACGUGUAUUGUGUCACCAAGCCACAGCCAGAGAGGAGGAGGGCAAGCCCUGCUUGUUAUAGCUGUUAAAGUCAGAACACCAUUUCUCAUAGUGAAAUCAUAGAAUGGCCUGGGUUGAAAAGGACUACAAUGAUUAUCUAGUUGCAACCCCCUGCUAUGUGCAGGGUCACCAACCACCAGACCAGGCUGCCCAGAGCCACAUCCAGCCUGGCCUUGAAUGCCUCAGGGAUGGGGCAUCCACAACCUCCUUGGGCAACCUGUUCCAGUGUGUCACCACCUGCUGUGUGCAAACUGCUUUGGAGAUGAUUCAGCCAUCAUCUGCACGUUAAAUGUCUGAAAAGACCUUUCGUUACCGCAUCAAGCACUGCCAGAGGACCACAUCAAACUGCUACCAUGGAGUAACAGUGAGAUUCAAAGCUGUGGCACAGGCACUGUAGGACCGCCUGGCACUGAGCUGAAGGUGCAACUACUGUCUGCGUGCAUCACUGAAUUGGCCUGAGACCAAACUACACACUUGAUAUCCAACAGCCACCAAUGCCCAGUGACAUGUUAACCACGUCAAUAAACAAUUAGCUAAACAGGUGCUGGGUUCUCCUGGUUAAAAGAAAACCAGACCUUCAUUAAAUUCUAAGAUAAGGUUGGAAAAAGAAUUGUUUCUGUAAUCCAUUAUCUGCUGCAUUAAUUUGGGAACUGGCUAAUUUCGAUCGCUUGAUUUGUUGGCUUAACUAAAAUUGGC